GAUGAACGCUGGCGGCGUGCCUAAUACAUGCAAGUCGAGCGAACAGACGAGGAGCUUGCUCCUCUGACGUUAGCGGCGGACGGGUGAGUAACACGUGGAUAACCUACCUAUAAGACUGGGAUAACUUCGGGAAACCGGCGCUAAUACCGGAUAAUAUAUUGAACCGCAUGGUUCAAUAGUGAAAGACGGUGUUGCUGUCACUUAUCGAUGGAUCCGCGCCGCAUUAGCUAGUUGGGAAGGUAACGGCUUAGCAAGGCAACGAUGCGUAGCCGACCGGAGAGGGGGAUCGGCCGCACUGGAACUGAGACACGGUCCAGACUCCUACGAGAGGCAGCAGUAGGGAAUCGUCCGCAAAGGGCGAAAGCCUGACGGAGCAACGCCGCGUGAGUGAUGAAGGUCUUCGGAUCGUAAAACUCUGUUAUUAGGGAAGAACAAAUGUGUAAGUAACUAUGCACGUCUUGACGGUACCUAAUCAGAAAGCCACGGCUAACUACGUG
rnacentral:rRNA from 1 species